rnacentral:rRNA from 1 species
CAGGCCUAACACAUGCAAGUCGAACGAACCUUCGGGUUAGUGGCGGACGGGUGAGUAACGCGUGAGAAUCUGCCCUCAGGAGGGGGAUAACAGUUGGAAACGACUGCUAAUACCCCAUAUGCCGAGAGGUGAAAUGAAUUUCGCCUGAGGAUGAGCUCGCGUCUGAUUAGCUUGUUGGUGGGGUAACGGCCUACCAAGGCUUCGAUCAGUAGCUGGUCUGAGAGGACGAUCAGCCACACUGGGACUGAGACACGGCCCAGACUCCUACGGGAGGCAGCAGUGGGGAAUUUUCCGCAAUGGGCGAAAGCCUGACGGAGCAACGCCGCGUGAGGGAUGGAGGCCUUUGGGCUGUAAACCUCUUUUCUCAAGGAAGAAGACCUGACGGUACUUGAGGAAUAAGCCACGGCUAAUUCCGUGCCAGCAGCCGCGGUAAUACGGGAGUGGCAAGCGUUAUCCGGAAUUAUUGGGCGUAAAGCGUCCGCAGGCGGCCGUUUAAGUCUGUUGUUAAAUCGUGGAGCUCAACUCCAUCACGGCAAUGGAAACUGUUCGGCUUGAGUAUGG